rnacentral:rRNA from 1 species
AUGGAGCAUCAUCACUCCGCCCCAAGGUGCAUAGCCUUCUUCCUCCUCCCUCUCCUGGCCAGCGUACAUUACGCUCAGGCAAACCCUGGCCGUGGCUCGAUCCACUCCAUCUUCAGCUUCAGCAACUCGUACGGCGACACCGGCAACUUUGUCAAGCUCGGAGCGCCGUUGCUUCCGAUCAUCCCUUUCAGCAACCUCCCCUAUGGGGAGACCUUCUUCGGUCGCCCCACUGGCCGAGCCUCUAACGGCCGCAUCAUCUUGGACUUCAUUGCCGAUGAGUUUGGGCUCCCUUUCGUCCCCCCAAUUCUCGGUGAAGAACAUAACUUCACCCAUGGAGCAAACUUCGCUGUCAUCGGGGCUACGGCGCUUGAUCUAUCCUACUUCUACGAGAAAAACAUCACGAGUGCGCCCCCUUUCAACAGCUCCUUGAGCGUGCAGCUCGACUGGUUCCAGAAGCUCAAGCCCACCUUGUGCUCAACACCACAAGGUUGCAGAGACUAUUUCAGGAGAUCCGUCUUCUUGAUGGGAGAGUUCGGAGGGAAUGACUACACCUUCAUCAUGGCCGCCGGGAAAACCUUGGACCAGGUCGCGUCAUUCGUGCCGGAAAUCGUACAAUCCAUCUCAGCAGGCGUUGAGCAACUAGUCAAGGAGGGAGGGAGGUACGUGGUGGUGCCGGGGCAGCCGCCAAUGGGGUGCAUUCCCAUCGUCCUAACCUUGUACGCCAGCCCGAACAAGAAGCACUACGACCCCGGGACCGGGUGCCUGAGGAAAUACAACGCCCUCGCGCGCUACCACAAUAGAGUGUUGGUGGAAGCCGUCUAUCGUCUCCGGAUCAAGUACCCCGCCACCAAGAUCGUCUACGCCCACUACUACACGCCGGUGAAGGAGUUUCUCAGGGAACCCAUAAGAUUCGGGUUCAGUGCCUCGUCGAGGCUCCGAGUGUGCUGUGGCGCGGGCGGGCCGUACAACUACAACCUGACGGCGGCGUGGGUUGCCCGGCGCGAGCGCAUGCGCUAA